CACACUUCCAAGGCUGCAUCAAGGCUCCAAUCACAUUGCUAUACAACAUUCAAAAGCCCACAAAUCACUCAAUUUGAACAUGUCAGGCAACCAACCAGCACGCAUCAGACAGGGUAGGGAGACCCAGACUGCGUCAGCUACACAGGGAAUGGGUGGCGCUAAGGGAAAAAAGGAGGUGAAGGAGAAGAAGAAGGUUUCGACCGGCUCUACUUCGUGCUCUCGCGGAGUGAAGGAGGUGAAGGAGAAGAAGAAGGUUUCGACCGGC